rnacentral:rRNA from 1 species
UGGGGAAUAUUGCACAAGGGGCGCAAGCCUGAUGCAGCCAUGCAGCGUGUAUGAAGAAGGCCUUCGGGGUGUAAAGUACUUUCAGCGGGGAGGAAGGGAGUAAAGUUAAUACCUUUGCUCAUUGACGGUACCCGCAGAAGAAGCACCGGCUAACUCCGUGCCAGCAGCCGCGGUAAUACGGAGGGUGCAAGCGUUAAUCGGAAUUAAUGGGCGUAAAGCGCACGCAGGCGGUUUGUUAAGUCAUAUGUGAAAUCCCCGGGCUCAACCUGGGAACUGCAUCUGAUUCUGGCAAGCUCGAGUCUCGUAGAGGGGGGUAGAAUUCCAGGUGUAGCGGUGAAAUGCGUAGAGAUCUGGAGGAAUACCGGUGGCGAAGUCGGCCCCCUGGCACAUGACUGACGCUCAGGUGCGAAAGCGUGGGGAGCAAACAGG